GGGCGCGGGAGUUCGAUUCAGGCCUAACACAUGCAAGUCGAGCGGUAGAGAGAAGCUUGCUUCUCUUGAGAACGGCGGACGGGUGAGUAAUGCCUAGGAAUCUGCCUGGUAGUGGGGGAUAACGUUCGGAAACGGACGCUAAUACCGCAUACGUCCUACGGGAGAAAGCAGGGGACCUUCGGGCCUUGCGCUAUCAGAUGAGCCUAGGUCGGAUUAGCUAGUUGGUGAGGUAAUGGCUCACCAAGGCUACGAUCCGUAACUGGUCUGAGAGGAUGAUCAGUCACACUGGAACGGAGACACGGUCCAGACUCCUACGGGAGGCAGCAGUGGGGAAUAUUGGACAAUGGGCGA
rnacentral:rRNA from 1 species